AUCUAACAAGCAUUUUAUCAUAUCUAACAACAUUUUAUCAUAUGCAGAAAAAGAUGCUUUAAAAAUCUUAUCGAGAAAGGUGGAAUUGGAAAAAAUCUGCUAGUGAGCUUACCUGUACUUACUGGAAAAUUCAAAAACAAAGAGUAUCCCAUUGAAAACAUGAUGAUUAUGGAGAUGGCACCACCAUCCACUCGUCUGGGAAUUCAGAAUCAUGAAUUCAUUUACUGAACAGAGUGGAGACCAUUUCAUACUCGAAGACUGAACAACUGCUCCUGGGAGCUGGUAUUUUUGGAAGCUGCUUCAACUACCUUUGUGGUUGAGGGAUAGCUGGGAGCUAUGGUAUAGAAAAUGUCACUGGGAACAAGCACGGAAAAAGAUAGUGGAGGACAGAUUCAAGGAUAAUCCUAGUGGCCAAACACUUGCGAAUGAUACUGGAUAUGGAGAGUUUAAAGUCUAAGCCAAAACACUUGAAGCUAUUCUGAUGGUGUACAGAACUAGAUGUGAGGUAGCA
rnacentral:lncRNA from 1 species